GGAAAACCCGCGGGCGGAGGCCAAGGCCCAGUGUGGCCCGGCUGUGUCCCUGCGUCCCAGGGGCUGGGCGCGCCCGGCCUGCCCAGCGGGGGAUGCGGGGCGCUGUCACUUCCUCCCAGCAGCCGGGCAGGGGCGGGGGGCUGGCCGCGCGUCGCAUGAUGAGGAAACUGAGGCACAGAGCGGUCCAGUCAUAUGCCAGCCAGUGGUGAAGCUAGGAGCCCCUUCACUAAGCACAGCGUUAUCUUGCUUCUCCUCCAAUGUUGCUCAGCGUCUGAAAUUCAGCUUGAUGUAUUUAAGUCAGACACAAGAAAGGACUUCCAGACCAAGGAGUUAAGGUGCAGAAAUGGGAGGCUGUCACCGCCCUGAGACUCUUCCUGGGGAUGCCCUACUGUCUGCAUGGGGUGGGGCCAUUGUGUUCCCUGCUGACAGAUGAGGAAACCGAGUCUCAGAGAAGCAGGCACAGAGGUUGAGGCCUUAAGCCUGCGGUCCCUGCUGCCACCCAGCCUUCCCCAAGAGGAGCAGUGACUUGCUCAGCAUCACCUACAGCUCCAUGAGACCCUGGCUGAAGUCUGCUGACCUCCUCCGGGACUGUGGGAUGGCCAGGACAGCUGACCAGAAGCCACUCUCACGGCACAUCCCCUCCUGCAAAGGAGGGAGCAUGAGGACCCUCAGCAGCCCAGAUAUGCACCAUCAGGCGGUACCCCACCCCAGCCCCACGGGACACUGUCGAUUUGUUGAUAGCCCCCCCGCCCCUUUCCUCCUAGGAGGAAGCCAGGCCAAGGAUUCCUUUCCGUAUUUGACAGAUGGAGAAACUGAGGCCUGAUGACGUAUGGCUUCUGCAGCUCUUCCAUGAGUCUGACCCACUGUCCUUGCUGGAGAAGGGCCACGGGAGAGAAAGCAGGGCCUAUGGGGCAGCAGGACCCCACCAGUGGCCUUCCAAAUAGUGUGGUGUAGGAGGGCUUCCUGGAGGAGUGGGUCCUGGUGGAACUCAUGGGCAUAGGAAGUUCUCUAUGCCAGCUGCAAGCGGCCACUCUCCUCCCCAAGUUCAGCUCUCCUGAAACUCUAGUCUUUCACCACAGCUCUCUGGUAGUGAUGCAAAAUGCCCAAGUUCCGCUCCGGUCCCUUCUGCCUGGGGUUCCUGUAGAACAUGGGCCCUUCUCGGAGCCGGCAUAAUUUCCAGGAAAACAGCUGCAGAGCCACGGUCUAUGCAGGGUUCUGCCAAUGACAGAGGCCAGUCACGUGGCAGGAGCUCUCUUGUGAAGCCCAGUGCUGCUUCAUGGGGCUAUUUGGGGAAGGGAGACGGGGAGGAGAGGGGAGGGAAGGGGAGGGAAGAGGAGGGAAGGGGAGGGGAGGGAAGAGGAGGGGAGGGGAGGUGUUACCAGGAGAGACUGUAUCCAAGUCCUGAAGCACCAAAGUAUGUUAGCAGCAGCAAAUCCAUACAGGUCUGCAGCAACCUCAGUUCUUACCUCCUCAGAAAAGAGAAUUCAACUGAGAGGUCUAAGGCAAAGUGAGAGAGACUGCAGCAAGUUUCAAAGCAGGAGUGAAAGUUUAUUUAAAAGCUUUAGAGAAGGAGCCUGGGCAACAUGGCAAAACCCUGUCUCUACCAAAUAAUAAAAAUAAUAACACAAAAA